rnacentral:tRNA from 1 species
AUAGUUUAAUUAGCUAGAACACUUGCGUGUAAAGCAACCGAUCCGGGUUCGACUCCUGGU